UAGGGAAUCUUCGGCAAUGGACGAAAGUCUGACCGAGCAACGCCGCGUGAGUGAAGAAGGUUUUCGGAUCGUAAAACUCUGUUGUUAGAGAAGAACAAGGACGUUAGUAACUGAACGUCCCCUGACGGUAUCUAACCAGAAAGCCACGGCUAACUACGUGCCAGCAGCCGCGGUAAUACGUAGGUGGCAAGCGUUGUCCGGAUUUAUUGGGCGUAAAGCGAGCGCAGGCGGUUUCUUAAGUCUGAUGUGAAAGCCCCCGGCUCAACCGGGGAGGGUGAUUGGAAACUGGGAGACUUGAGUGCAGAAGAGGAGAGUGGAAUUCCAAGUGGAGCGGUGAAAUGCGUAGGUAUAGGGAGGAACACCAGUGGCGAAGGCGGCUCUCUGGUCUGUAACUGACGCUGAGGAUCGAAAGCGUGGGGAGCAAACAGG
rnacentral:rRNA from 1 species